GCCUCAGCAGGCUGUUUGUAUCACUGAAAGCUCUAAAAGGUUUGCCAUCACUGUCCUAAAGGAUUUCCAGGCAAAAAUUCUUGGAAUCCAUAACUGCCAGUCCUAUUUUAAGGACAGAAAACAAUGACGUUACAAAAGAAAAUCGGAAAUUCGUAACAGUCACAAAAUUUGAAAGGAACUUUAAAAUUCCUAUCAGUGAAUAUCAUAUCAAAAGAAGAACAGAUAAGCAAAAUGUACUUUAUGCAUACAAUGGAAUAUUACCCAGCCUUAAAAGAGAAGAAAACUCUGACAUAUGCUAAACACCGUGGAUAUACCUUUGAAGACACUGUGCUACGUGAAAUAAACCAGACACAGAAAGAUGGAUAUUACAUGAUUUCACUUACACAAUGUUCUUAGAGGAGUUAAAUUCACACCAACAGAAACUAGAUUAGUGGUUGCCCAGGACUACAGGAAAGAGAAAAAUUCUGUUGCUGAGAAAUUCCUGCCAAAAGACAGACUAUAUUUGCUUCCCAGAUGUGCCCAACACCAUGCAUUCUACCAGAUAUGAUAAUUGAUGCCCAGGGAAAAAGAACAAGCUUUAGAGGGAAGACCAACAAACCAGAUGAUAACUUGUAGGAAACCACAAGAUAAAGAAGAAGAAAACUGGUGCAGUUUGGGUGUAAUGCUGACCCCAGAUCUCCCACUGAGCAGCAAUGAGAGAAAAUCCAGAGCCAGGCCCCUGCCUAAAGCCUAUGUGUGGAACUUCUUUCACCGCAGAGCAAAGCUACAGGAAGAAGCACACGAUGGAGCAAAGAAGCUGAAGGAUUGGCUUUGGGGACUGACAGGGGAAAAAAUCUGGUUCCACACCCUGAGCCAAUUAUGUAGACAUUGAAUUUAGUGUCCUUGUGUAUAAAUGAGGGCAAUAAAUAAAACAGUAAAAAAUAAAUAACUAAAGCAGUAGUCCCCACUUAAAAGUAGAGGAUAUGUUCAAAGAUCCCAGUGGAUGCCUAAAACCAUAGACCCAAACCCUAUAUAUGCAUUUUUUUCUCAUAUGCCCUGCAGUAUCACCACACAGUACCAGAGUUAAUCUGUCCUAGUUUUAUGCCAUAAUAACUUCUCUGCAUCACUACUUUAGUGUUUGGGGACCAUUAUUAAGUAAAAGAGGGUUAUUUGAACAUAAGCAUUGAGGUAGAGCAAAAGUGCAUCUGAUAGUCAAGAAAGCUACUAAGUGACUAAUGGGCUGGUAGCACAUACAGUCUAUUCACAUCCUGGGCAGCACAGGACAGCAUGGGAUUUCAUCAUGCUACCUGGAAUACUUAAAUCUUAUGAAUUAUUUCUGGGAUUUUCUU